UCUUGGCUUUCAGUUGGCAAAGAAUCUGCCUGCAGUGCAGGAGACCCAGGUUCAAUCCCUGGGUUGGGAA
rnacentral:tRNA from 1 species